AAAAACCUUCCGCUAACUGGACCGCUAAUUAGAGAGAAGAAUUAGAGAGAAGCCGAGUUCCAUAGCGCCAACUAUGGGCAUGGAGGACUUCGAAGCGUCCCCUAGCUGGCUUGAAAAGUUCGUUGCACGACAUCAGAUGAGCAACGCUGUCUUGGGUGGUGAUCAAGGGGAGCACUAUUCUAGCAGCAGCAACAUUGUGAGUCAGCUUUUUCCCCUCUGCCUGGUGUAAUGGAGUUAAAGCGGGGGUGAGAUAAUGCCUGAGGAGGCAGUCAGGAAUCAAAGCGCCCACAUCCUGCUGGAGCAAGAAGAUGGUACAAUACUGCCACCUGCUGGACCAUAGCUGGAAGUACAUCAGGUGGGUGGAGACCAGACAUGGAUUAAUUUUUGGCUGUGAAGAUGCAUUAUUUAUUCUAAAUAAAUGAUGGAAAAUAUUGGA